AGUGAACGCUGGCGGCAGGCCUAACACAUGCAAGUCGAACGGCAGCACGGCAGUAGCAAUACUGUGGGUGGCGAGUGGCGGACGGGUGAGGAAUACAUCGGGAUCUACCCUGUUGUGGGGGAUAACGUAGGGAAACUUACGCUAAUACCGCAUAAGAACUGAGGUUGAAAGCGGCGGACCGCAAGGCGUCGCGCGAUUGGAUGAACCGAUGUCCGAUUAGCUAGUUGGCGGGUAAAGGCCCACCAAGGCGACGAUCGGUAGCUGGUCUGAGAGGACGACCAGCCACACUGGAACUGAGACACGGUCCAGACUCCUACGGGAGGCAGCAGUGGGGAAUUUUGCGCAAUGGGCGAAAGCCUGACGCAGCAACGCCGCGUGUGUGACGAAGGCCCUAGGGUUGUAAAGCACUGUGGGGAGGGAGAAAAAACGGGGGUUGUACCCCGACUUGACGGUACCUCUUUAGAAAGCACCGGCUAACUCCGUGCCAGCAGCCGCGGUAA
rnacentral:rRNA from 1 species